UUCAAUUAAUAGCCGAAUUCAUAUUAGAAGACGGAUUUCCGUCUAAGACGGGAAACUCGUCUCAGACGAGAAACUCGUCUUGAUAUAAAUUCGGUUAACGACGGGUUUUCCGUCUGAACGACGGGAAAGUAAGACGAGUUUCUCGUCUUAGACGGAAAUCCGUCUUAAAUCCGUCUUAAAUUUAUAUCAGACGAAUAAAUCAAGACGGGUUUCUGCUCGUAACGUUGAAA